GCGCUCCUCCUAGCAAAGCCCCGGCCCCAGCGAUUGUCUUUUCUUAUUGGUCCAACUCGUGAUCCGAACCCCCAGUCACUGGCUUUCUUGCGGGUCAGUCACUGAGCCAAUUUCCAAGUCCGUCACACCGGCUUUUUUCAAAUGAACGCGCAAAAGGCGGGGAAGUAUCUGGAAAGCGAUUGGUUCGUCCUAGAAAACGGUCAAACCCGGAGAGUCUGUACGGAUCCUUUCCGUUCUGUGAGGACCGUGCCCCCUUGUAUUUGACCUCUAAGCCUCGCGUAAAAGAAGCGCCAUAAGGGACCAACGAGCAGUCCAGCUAUAGGUGUGGACGCCUGGUCCCACCCGGAAUUGCAGGGGCUUGGCUACUGAUUGGCUAAGAAAGUCCUCCUAGGCCCUCAUUGGAGGAUCUAAACGCCUCUCUUCGGCGUGGAGACGGGAAGGGACGACUCAGACGAGGACAAGAAGUGGGCAGGGGAGAGGCGGUUGUUUUGCUUCAGCCGCGGGUGGGGCGCAGGCGAGAGUGGGAAACUGGGAAGGCCGGGCUCUGGGGAGGUGUUGCGGGGAGGGGAAAGGCCCGGAUGUUCCCUAACAAUGAAAUCAUCGCCGACCUAUCAGAGCCGCCGAGCUGGGAUACCUGCCUGACCUGUACCCCGGAGGGAGAAGAGUGGGCGGGAAAUUGGGGUGUCGGAAGAACCUGGAAAGCAACGUGAGAAAGUGGGACAGGUGUUCCCUUCAGGAGGAUUUUGUGCUAUUAGAGAUUAUUUUUAUACCAGCCCUUGACAUUUCCGUAUUUUGUUUCUCAGUCGGCAUUGAUAUUAAAACUCCCAGCCUAGUCUCUUGACAUGGACUUGUUCAUUUCGCAGUUAUUGAGCGCCUACUGUUUGCCAGGUACUGUAUGUAGAACUGGAGAUACAAAAAUAAAUUAGGCAAUCGCAGUACAAGAUGAUAGGUACUACAAUUGAAACAUGCACAAGGGCUGGUGACGACAUAAAGGGUCUUCCUUGUGCAUAGGUUUACCAAGAAAGGCUUCACAAAGACACAGGAUGAGUCAAGAAUGAAUGAUAGGGGUUUAACAGGCCGAUGGGGAAAGUGGACAUGACUCCUCCAGCUAUCAAAUUAGACGAUGCUGCCAUGUUAAUUCUCCAAACGAGAAACAAAAGUGUAAUAGAGGAUGUGAUGCUUGCAGCUAUGACAGCCAUUUGUGACCAUGAAGGGACCAAACUAGAGGACAAAGAGCAAGUCACUAUGCAUGAAAGAGUGAAAAUGUGGAAAGGACCUUCACCAUUGAUGAUACUGUCAAGCUAUUGAAUUAAACAACCUUGGAACCACUCUA
rnacentral:lncRNA from 1 species